rnacentral:rRNA from 1 species
GACGAACGCUGGCGGCGUGCUUAACACAUGCAAGUCGAUCGGAAAGGCCCUGCUUUUGUGGGGUGCUCGAGUGGCGAACGGGUGAGUAACACGUGAGUAACCUGCCCUUGACUUUGGGAUAACUUCAGGAAACUGGGGCUAAUACCGGAUAGGAGCUCCUGCUGCAUGGUGGGGGUUGGAAAGUUUCGGCGGUUGGGGAUGGACUCGCGGCUUAUCAGCUUGUUGGUGGGGUAGUGGCUUACCAAGGCUUUGACGGGUAGCCGGCCUGAGAGGGUGACCGGCCACAUUGGGACUGAGAUACGGCCCAGACUCCUACGGGAGGCAGCAGUGGGGAAUAUUGCACAAUGGGCGGAAGCCUGAUGUAGCAACGCCGCGUGCGGGAUGACGGCCUUCGGGUUGUAAACCGCUUUCGCCUGUGACGAAGCGUGAGUGACGGUAAUGGGUAAAGAAGCACCGGCUAACUACGUG